ACACCACUUGCACACAUUGGUCCUCAUGUUAUUGUGGGAGGCGGCCAUGACUGUCGGGCAGAGAGAGGGGAGACGUGGGAAUCGAAGGAGAAAGAAACCCGAGCAAUUCUGAUUGGCUGCAGCGUGUCACAUGUCACAUCAAGGUACAGAACUCCCAGAAGACAAAAUACACCCACUUGGGUGCCACCAAAGCCCAGCGACCAUCGGAACACCCCGGCGCCACCGGCCUAUACAGUUAUACAUGUAGCCUACUUUAUCAAACGGUGCUGCUACAGGUGCCCUGCGGGCUCACUCUUGGCGCUAACAGGAGCCCCGAGCCCCUGCUUACUAUGGGGGUGACAGGGAGUCUUCACUCUAAGUGGCGUGCCUCCACCCAGGGAUGAUGUUGUGAGACUGUAACUCCCACCCUGGGACCCGAUAUUACACAGUAACCUUGUCAGGGACUCCACACAACUCCCGGCACCUUGCCCCUCCCUGGGGUAGUUGCUUACUGGCAGGUAGGUGAUCCCUGGUGCAGGAAAAAGCCGGACACAGAGAUUGUGAUGAACCAGAUGGAUGUAUUUAUUUGGGGCAGAACCUCUACAGGAGCGGCAUACACUCGACAGGGCAUUUACUCCUCAGCUUCACCUUAAGAGCACCUCCCUCCUGUUGGGUAACCUACGGUACUCUCGCCGAGAGAUCCUCUCUUAGGAGACCCAGUACCCACCUCCAGGACUCACCCCAGUACUCUCACCAGGCUGACCCACCUCCAGGACUCUCCCCGGUACUCUCGCCAGGCUGACCCACCUCCAGGACUCUCCCCGGUACUCUCGCCAGGCUGACCCACCUCC